rnacentral:rRNA from 1 species
CUGAGAGGAUGACCAGCCACACUGGAACUGAGACACGGUCCAGACUCCUACGGGAGGCAGCAGUGGGGAAUAUUGCACAAUGGGCGCAAGCCUGAUGCAGCCAUGCCGCGUGUAUGAAGAAGGCCUUCGGGUUGUAAAGUACUUUCAGCGGGGAGGAAGGGAGUAAAGUUAAUACCUUUGCUCAUUGACGUUACCCGCAGAAGAAGCACCGGCUAACUCCGUGCCAGCAGCCGCGGUAAUACGGAGGGUGCAAGCGUUAAUCGGAAUUACUGGGCGUAAAGCGCACGCAGGCGGUUUGUUAAGUCAGAUGUGAAAUCCCCGGGCUCAACCUGGGAACUGCAUCUGAUACUGGCAAGCUUGAGUCUCGUAGAGGGGGGUAGAAUUCCAGGUGUAGCGGUGAAAUGCGUAGAGAUCUGGAGGAAUACCGGUGGCGAAGGCGGCCCCCUG